UCAAACUUGGUCAUUUAGAGGAAGUAAAAGUCGUAACAAGGUUUCCGUAGGUGAACCUGCGGAAGGAUCAUUAACAAAUUGUCCAUUUUCCUUUGCAUAUGGAUGGUUCAAAUCCAUAUCCACCUUCGUGUGCACAUCAUUGACAUGUUUGCUUUGGCAGUUUGCGGGGAAGAUCCUUUACUGUUUCUUCUGUGGAGGGAAAAGGUUAUAGGGAGGGGGCUCACCCCCCUCUCUCUCCCUAUCCUUCCGGCGCUGCCAGAGUUUUUUUCUUCUUUCACUUUGACAAACUUUUGCUUCUUCUCGAAGCAAGCCCUGAAAAAACAUGAAUUUUUUUUUUUUUGGAAAACCAAAAAAUAAAUAAAUUGAAUACAACUUUCAACAACGGAUCUCUUGGCUCUCGCAUCGAUGAAGAACGCAGC
rnacentral:misc_RNA from 1 species